rnacentral:rRNA from 1 species
CUUGAACGCUGGCGGCGUGCCUAACACAUGCAAGUCGAGCGAUGAAGGGAGCUUGCUCCCGGAUUAGCGGCGCACGGGCGAGUAACGCGUGGAUAAUCUACCCACGAGAUCGGGAUACCAGCUGGAAACGGCUGACAAUACCGGGUAAUAUACAAUUUUACUAUUGUGUCAAAGGCGGGGCAACCUGUCGCUUGUGGAUGAGUCCGCGUCUCAUUAGCUAGUUGGUAAGGUAAUGGCUUACCAAGGCAGUGAUGAGUAGCCGGCCUGAGAGGGUAAUCGGCCACACGGGGAAUGGAACACGGCCCAGACUCCUACGGGAGGCAGCAGUGGGGAAUAUUGCGCAAUGGACGAAAGUCUGACGCAGCGACGCCGCGUGGGGGAUGAAGGCCUUCGGGUUGUAAACCUCUGUCAGGAGGGAAGAACCGCCAUGGUAGUAACUGCCCAUGGUCUGACGGUACCUCCAAAGGAAGCACCGGCUAACUCCGUGCCAGCAGCCGCCGUAAAAC